CGCCUAACACAUGCAAGUCGAACGAGCGAGAGAGAGCUUGCUUUCUCGAGCGAGUGGCGAACGGGUGAGUAACGCGUGAGGAACCUGCCUCAAAGAGGGGGACAACAGUUGGAAACGACUGCUAAUACCGCAUAAGCCCACGGCUCGGCAUCGAGCAGAGGGAAAAGGAGCAAUCCGCUUUGAGAUGGCCUCGCGUCCGAUUAGCUAGUUGGUGAGGUAAUGGCCCACCAAGGCGACGAUCGGUAGCCGGACUGAGAGGUUGAACGGCCACAUUGGGACUGAGACACGGCCCAGACUCCUACGGGAGGCAGCAGUGGGGAAUAUUGCACAAUGGGGGAAACCCUGAUGCAGCGACGCCGCGUGGAGGAAGAAGGUCUUCGGAUUGUAAACUCCUGUUGUUGGGGAAGAUAAUGACGGUACCCAACAAGGAAGUGACGGCUAACUACGUGCCAGCAGCCGCGGUAAAACGUAGGUCACAAGCGUUGUCCGGAAUUACUGGGUGUAAAGGGAGCGCAGGCGGGAAGACAAGUUGGAAGUGAAAUCUAUGGGCUCAACCCAUAAACUGCUUUCAAAACUGUUUUUCUUGAGUAGUGCAGAGGUAGGCGGAAUUCCCGGUGUAGCGGUGGAAUGCGUAGAUAUCGGGAGGAACACCAGUGGCGAAGGCGGCCUACUGGGCACCAACUGACGCUGAGGCUCGAAAGUGUGGGUAGCAAACAGGAUUAGAUACCCUGGUAGUCCACACCGUAAACGAUGAUUACUAGGUGUUGGAGGAUUGACCCCUUCAGUGCCGCAGUUAACACAAUAAGUAAUCCACCUGGGGAGUACGACCGCAAGGUUGAAACUCAAAGGAAUUGACGGGGGCCCGCACAAGCAGUGGAGUAUGUGGUUUAAUUCGACGCAACGCGAAGAACCUUACCAAGUCUUGACAUCUCUUGACAGACAUAGAAAUAUGUUUUCUCUUCGGAGCAAGGAGACAGGUGGUGCAUGGUUGUCGUCAGCUCGUGUCGUGAGAUGUUGGGUUAAGUCCCGCAACGAGCGCAACCCUUAUGGUCAGUUACUACGCAAGAGGACUCUGGCCAGACUGCCGUUGACAAAACGGAGGAAGGUGGGGAUGACGUCAAAUCAUCAUGCCCUUUAUGACUUGGGCUACACACGUACUACAAUGGCGUUAAACAAAGAGAAGCAAGACCGCGAGGUGGAGCAAAACUCAGAAACAACGUCCCAGUUCGGACUGCAGGCUGCAACUCGCCUGCAUGAAGUCGGAAUUGCUAGUAAUCGUGGAUCAGCAUGCCACGGUGAAUACGUUCCCGGGCCUUGCACU
rnacentral:rRNA from 1 species